GACAGAGGUCUCGAGCGUUAGGCGGAAUCACUGGGCUUAAAGCGUGUGUAGGUGGAUGCCUAAGUACCUUGUGAAAUCCCACGGCUUAACCGUGGAAUUGCUUGGUAUACUGGGUGUCUUGAGCCACUUAGGGGCAACCGGAACAAAUGGUGGAGCGGUGAAAUGCGUAGAUAUCAUUUGGAACGCCAAUGGUGAAAACAGGUAGCUGGGGCUGUGCUGACACUGAGGCACGAAAGCCAGGGGAGCGAACGGG
rnacentral:rRNA from 1 species